UACGUAGGGUGCAAGCGUUGUCCGGAAUUAUUGGGCGUAAAGAGCUCGUAGGUGGCUUGUCACGUCGGGUGUGAAAGCUUGGGGCUUAACUCCAGGUCUGCAUUCGAUACGGGCUGGCUAGAGGUAGGUAGGGGAGAACGGAAUUCCUGGUGUAGCGGUGAAAUGCGCAGAUAUCAGGAGGAACACCGGUGGCGAAGGCGGUUCUCUGGGCCUGACCUGACGCUGAGGCGCGAAAGCGUGGGGAGCGAUCCGG
rnacentral:rRNA from 1 species